rnacentral:tmRNA from 1 species
GGGGCCGACCGGUUUCGACAGCGAGAUGAAUGAAUAAGUAAGCAGGCCGAGCGUUGAGUGAAUGGCUCGUAAAUAUCAACACUAAACUCGCUAAAUGGCGAAAAUAAUUAUGCGCUUGCAGCGUAACACUCGAUAGAGGUUACAAUUAAUUCUAAGACUAGGUUUUAGAACAAGCAUAUCUCUCAAGGGUUCUACUCAUUAAUACCUUGGUCAAGAGAUAUCAGAAUUUUGAGUUAGUUAGCUAGGGGUCUCGACUAGCUGAUGAAACCAAAGAGAAUAAGGUUAAAGUAGGUUGUAAACUGCCGGCUUUAAUUCGAAAAUUUAAAGUUGACUAUGUCUGUAGAAAGCUUAUUGAUUCCUUGUUUGGACGAGGGUUCGAAUCCCUCCGGCUCCACAA